UCCGGGGUAGUGUAAUGGUAACACAGGAGCCUUUGGAGCUCCCAUUCCUGGUUCGACCCCAGGCCCCGGAG
rnacentral:tRNA from 1 species